GGAAGUAAAAGAAAACUCUUGAUCUGCUAAAUCUAAGAAGUCCUCAGUUUAAUUCUAAGGUACUUCCG
rnacentral:tRNA from 1 species